rnacentral:lncRNA from 1 species
GUCUGUAAUCUCAGGGCCUGGUGUAUGGUAGGAAGCUACUAUAUGCUGCUUGAGUAAAAGAGAAAGAAGAAAAAUGAGACUAUGAAAUAAUAAUGUUCAUCUUUUAAUAUCAUCUUUUGUUCGUUUUCAGCAUUCAGGAAGACAUGGUGGUAAACCCUGGCCCUAACUCUUCAUGAUUGAAGAACUCUUUUGCACAACACAAAGGAUGCUGAGGGGCAGCGAACUCACAUCUGAAGCUACAUUUGCUGUAAUGCUAUUGUUGAAGACAAUGGUCAAAUUUUCUCUCCUUGCUCUUACAUAGAAUCUCAUCCACUGGAAGAUCUAUGGGACUUCCUAUUGUGUCCCCUUUUUCCUGGCUACUUAUGUUCAUGUGUUCCUUCUCACUGUGGCUACCAGGAAGCUGAAGGACAUAUACCACCAUGGGCUGUAUGAUCAUUAUGGUCCAGUGUGACCCUUCUAGUACUGGUAUAUUACACAUGCUCACAUGCUCACGUAUGGCUCUUUCUGUGGCUGCUUCAAUGUCCUGAGUCAAUUCAAAAGGUUUAUGGCAGUUUCUGCCAAAUAAAAAUGUCUGUGCAUCUUCAUCCACCUGAUUCACCAGAUUCUGCAUUGUGCAACUCCUAGCUCCUCCCCAAAGUCAAAGUGAUCAUACAAAAUGAACAUUUUGAAAAAAAGUACAUCAAGACAGCCCAGACAGUGCAACUAAGUACUCAUAGAGGAGAACUUCCAGAACUUCCCCAGAAAGUGUCAAGAACAAUGAGAUAAGUGUGCUCAAAGUAGGAGGGAGUAUUUUAAGGGGAUUCAUGGCAAGGUGUCU